rnacentral:rRNA from 1 species
CCUACGGGAGGCAGCAGUCGGGAAUAUUGGACAAUGGGGGAAACCCUGAUCCAGCAAUACCGCGUGUGUGAAGAAGGCCUGCGGGUUGUAAAGCACUUUCAGUAGGGAAGAUAAUGACGUUACCUACAGAAGAAGCACCGGCUAACUCCGUGCCAGCGGCCGCGGUAAUACGGAGGGUGCGAGCGUUAAUCGGAAUUACUGGGCGUAAAGCGCACGUAGGCGGUCUGUUAAGUCAGCUGUGAAAGCCCCGGGCUCAACCUGGGAGCAGCAGUUGAUACUGGCAGACUAGAAUUUGGGAGAGGUGAGUGGAAUUUCCGGUGUAGCGGUGAAAUGCAUAGAGAUCGGAAGGAACACCAGUGGCGAAGGCGACUCACUGGACCAAAAUUGACGCUGAGGUGCGAAAGCGUGGGUAGCAAACAGGAUUAGAUACCCUGGUAGUCCACGCCGUAAACGAUGUCAACUAGCCGUUGGUUCCAUUCAAGGGAUCAGUGGUGCAGCUAACGCAUUAAGUUGACCGCCUGGGGAGUACGCGCGCAAGCGUAAAACUCAAACGAAUUGACGG